ensembl:lincRNA Gm5103 predicted gene 5103
UGUCUUCGAGAGACUUGCCCGGUGUGCGGUAACCAGCGUUGUUAGACUCCUUUGUAAUAUUAACGUUGUGCAGAAGUUCUCUGCUUCUUAUCAUGAAAGAUCAUUUUCAAAUGAAGUUCAUUUAUCGUGCCUACACAUUCCCUUCUAAACAUAAUGCUUCAAGCUGACCCACGAAAGAGGUGGAUAUAAGAGAUCACAGAGUGUGUGCUUUUUGUUUACGUGAAAUCUCCAGAGACAACGAAACUGUUGCGGCUUAAAGCCGAAAGGUGGCUGGAAGGGCCAGAGGCUCAGAAACUGGAGUUCAUGGCAUUUGGCUUGCAGGCGUGUGUCUAUGCACUACAUGCAUGUCUGGUGCCCAAGGAAGCCGGAAGAGGUUGCCCGAUCUCCUGGAACUGGAGUUACAGACAGUUAUGUCCUGUUGUGUGGGUGCAGGGAAUUAAGACCAAGUCGCCUGGAAAAGCAGCCACUGCAAUUAAGAACUGAGCCAUGUCUCCACCUCCUAGAAGAACUCAAGUUCAGUUUCUACCACCCAUGUGGUAGGUCGCACAUAACCUACAUCUGCAACUGAGUUUCAUCCCGUUCUGGCCUUCACCAGGUUCUUCUACAAUAGGGUGUUGGAAAGAGAAGUCUGCAUUUAAGGUUUGCUUUUUAAGAUGAGAGAACUUUUUUUGUGGCUGAUCUAUGACACAGCUAUCAGAUGUGGGCAAUGGAAACUGAGUCCAGGUCCUCUCCAAGUGCUCUCAACCACUGAAGCACGUCUCCAGGCCCGGCUGCCAAGCCUGCUUGAUUGAAAGCAUGAGGAUAAAUGUCCCAGCUCUUGAUGACUGAGUCACAGAACCAACUCUGGAGACCCUCGUUGUGUGAUAACUACCUCUGUCCCUGAAUCAUUUUCAAUUAGUUGCUCUUCUUUACAGCAGAAACUAUCUCAGCUAAAACAGUGACCAAGAGCCAGGUGGACAUGUCUUUAAUCCCAGCACUCAGGAAGUGGAGCCUGGUCUACAGAGUGAGUUCCAGGACAGCCAGGGUUACACAGAGAAAGCCUGUCUCCAAAACCAAAAUAAUUAAAACUUAAAACAGUG